rnacentral:lncRNA from 1 species
UGGAAACAAUUUUAAAAUAGUAUUCACUGUUAAUGCUGCUUGAUAUGAUUACAGGUGAUCAUCCACCCAAACCAAGACCGUGUCUUGACUGUGCGAGAGAACGCAAGGCUCCAGGGCUUCCCUGAUUACUAUAGACUAUUUGGCCCUACCAAGAAAAAGUAAGUCACUGUCCUGAUUAUUAUAGAUUGUUACUAGAACUCUCCCAUAUUUCUUGAAAUAAGUAAAAUCUUACAUACCUAUCUAUAAUGUUGUCAAGGUACACUCAAGUUGGGAAUGCUGUUGCAGUACCAGUGGCUAGGGCACUUGGAUACGCAUUAGGACAAGCUUUCCAAGGCCUCACUAAUGGUAGUGAUCCACUCUUCACUCUGCCCGAAGGUUUUCC